GGUGGCGGCGGCGGCAGGAUGGCGACGGCCGUCCUGCUGAGCGUGUCGGUGCCGCGGUGGGAGCGGGUGGCCCGGUAUGCAGUGUGCGCUGCCGGAAUCCUGCUCUCCAUCUACGCCUACCAUGUGGAGAGGCAGAAGGAGCGGGACCCCGAGCACCGGGCCCUCUGCGACCUGGGGCCCUGGGUGAAGUGCUCCGUCGCCCUUGCCUCCAGCAAAUUCAACACCCAACAGCUUCCUUAAUAGCAAAGGUAGCAACAGCCCAGGAUGAUAUAACUGGUGAUGGUACGACUUCCAACGUCCUAAUCAUUGGAGAGCUGCUGAAACAGGCGGAUCUCUACAUUUCUGAAGGCCUUCAUCCCAGAAUAAUCACUGAAGGAUUUGAAGCUGUGAAGGAAAAGGCCCUUCAUUUUUUGGAAGAAGUCAAAGUAAGCAGAGAGAUGGACAAGGAAACACUUAAAGAUGUGGCCAGGGCAUCUCUUUGUACUAAAGUUCAUGCUGAACUUGCAGAUGUCUUAACAGAGGCUGUAGUGGGCUCCAUUUUGGCCAUUAAAAGAAAAGAUGAACCUAUUGAUCUCUUCAUGAUUUUGUGAUCAUUGACAAGAAACAUAAAUCUGAAACUGAUACGAGAGAAGUGAAUUCUGGCUUUUUUUACAAGAGUGCAGAAAGAGAAAAACUCAUAAAAGCUGAAAGAAAAUUCAUUGAAGAUAGAGUUAAAACAAAUAAUAGAACUGAAAAGGAAAGUCUGUGGUGAUUCAGAUAAAGGAUUUGUUAUUAAUCAAAAGGGAAUUGACCCCUUUUCCUUAGAUGCUCUUUCAAAGAAGGCAUAGUCGCUCUUCACAGAGCUAAAAGGAGGAAUAUGGAGAGGUAUGAGUAGCAGAUUUAUCCAAGUAAUUUGACUUUUACUUAUUUUGCAAAUGAAUUGGGAUUAUUUGUUUUUCCUUAUACUUUAUUUUUGGGUUUUCAACUGUACAAUUAAUUGGCAUUAACUAUAUUCGCGUUAUUUUGCACCCAUCAGCACUGUCCAUCUCUAGGAUUUUUUUUAUCAUCACAAACUGAAACUGUAUACCCAUUAAAUAGUUACUCCCCAUUUCUCAUUCCCUCUAUGCCCUUGUAAACAUUAUUUUACUUUUUGUCUCUGAAUUCAGUAUACUUUCUCCCAAAGAGCUCACCACAAUAAAAGUUUUUUUAAAAAUAUUAUUUUAUUAUUUUUUUGAGACAGUCUUGCUCUGUUGUACAGUGGCAUGAUCGUGGUUCAUUGCAACUUCUACUUCCUGGGUUCUUAGGAUUCUUGUGCCUCAGCCUCCCGAGUAGCUAGGAUUACGGGUGUCUGCCACCAUGCCCGUUGAAUGUUUCGUUUUCGUUUUGCUUUUUUGGUAGAGGUGGGGUUUUGCCAUGUUGGCUAGGCUGGUCUCAAACUCCUGGCCUCAAGUGAUCCACCCACCUCAGCCUCCCAAGGUGUUGGGAUUACAGGCGUGAGCCACCAUGCCUGGCCAAUAAAGAGCUCUUGUCCAUCUUUAGAUUUCAUUUGCUGACUUGGGGAGAGUGGUUUAAAUGGAGGGUUAAAAGACUGGUUUUCAGCUGGUUGAUGGCAAAUGAAAAGGCUUAGGUUAAAGUACAUUUUAAACUGUAAUUUUGUGUGUAAUUCUGAAAAAUUCCUUCCUAGAAAUUACUGGUCUUCUCUUUGAACUUCACUGGUAACAUUGCUUAUUCAUUUCCCUUAAAAUGCUAUUUCAGGCUGACUCUUGCUUGUGGUGGGGUGGCCCUGAAUUCUUUUGAGGACCUAAGUCCUGACUGCUUGGGACAUGCAGGACUUGUAUAUGAGUAUACAUUGGUAAGUGUAUUUUCUUCCUGAGGGUAAUAGAACUUUUUAGCUCAUGAAUUAUUUUUGUUUUGUUUGAGAUGGGUUCUCACUCCUGCCCGGGCUGGAGUGCAGUGGUGUGAUCACAGCUCACUGUAGCCUCCUCAUCCUGGGCUCAAGUGAUCCUCCUGCUUCAGGCUCCUGAGCAAAUGGGACCACAGACAUGUGCUACCAUGCCUGGCUAAAUUUUUUUUGUAAUUUUUGUAGAAACAGGGUGGUAUUGUGUUGCCCAGGCUGGUCUUAAACUCUCGGGCUCAGGCUGUCCUUCACCCUCAGCCUCCCAAAGUGCUGAGAUUACAGGCAGGAGCCACUGUGCCUGGUUCAUGAAGUCUUUAGCAGAAAAAUCAAUUGAAAUUCAGGAUCAGAUUUUUGUUUAUAUACAUUUUGAAGGUUUAUGUGUAGUAAUGGGAAGCCAUUUAUAUGUGAUUUUUCAAAAAGAUAAUUUGGUUUGAUGUGAUCAAGUUUGUUCCUUAUUAAUAUGCUGCUUGUCAUUCUCUGUAAGUCCCUCUUCUCUCUUUGCACACAUCGUGUUUUUGAAAAUCAUGUUUCUUCUACACAAAGGGAGAAGUUCACCUUUAUUGAGAAGUGUAACAACCCUCGUUCUAUCACAUUAUUGAUCAAAGGACCAAAUAAGCCCACACUUAGAUCAAAGAUGCAGUAAGGGAUGGCUUGAGGGCUGUCAAAAAUGCUGUUGAUGAUGGCUGUGUGGUUCCGGGUGCUGGUGCUGUGGAAGUGGCAAUGGCAGAAGCCCUGAAUAAAUAUAAGCUCAGUGUAAAGGGCAAGGCACAGCUUGGAGUCCAAGCAUUUGCUGAUGCGUUGCUCGUUAUUCCCAAGGUGAGCCCGUGGUAGCAGCAGAAGCAGGCAUUAUGGGAUAACGAUUGUGUAAAGAAACAGCUUCUUCAUUCCUGCACUGAUUGCCACCAACAUUCUCUUGGUUGAUGAGAUCAUGCGAGCUGGAAUGUCUUCUCUGAAAGGUUGAAUUGAAGCUUCCUCUGUAUCUGAGUCUUGAAGACUCUGCAAAGUGAUCCUGAAGAAUACAGCUGUGGAAUUUUUGUCCAAGCUUCAAAUGAGUUUCAAGGGAAUUUUCCCAUGUGAAAAAAGGAGAGAACACUGGCAUCUGUGGAAGUUCUGAAAUUAUAAUUACAGUAUUUUUUAAAAAUUGCACUGAAGUGUACACAGAUAAAGCAGGUCUUUCACCCAGUGAACAGGAUGUUUUGCUUUAGCAGCAGUGACAUAAAAUUCCAUGUUAAAUAAGCAUAUAUUACCUACCUUAUUAAAUAUUCCUUGAAAAAGCAGAUUUUAAUGGUUUAAUUUUAUGUGGACAUAUGUUAAAUUAUUCAGCAGUACCCUAUUGUUAAGCAUCUGGUUUUAAAAUUUUUAUGCUAAUAUAAAUAACGCUUAGUAAUUUAAAAUUUUGGAAGCAUCCCGUUAGUGUAAAUUUCUGAGUAAAUUUAUUGAUCAGUUGGACUUUUCACGCUUUUGAAAUAGCUUUGCUAAAAUGCUCCCCCUACAAAGUUGUAGGAAAUGGGAAGAGGAGUAAACUAGAGGCAAGGGAGUUGAGAGAGCUGGAAGGCAUGGUGGCUAAGGGCUACGGUUAUCAGGUGAAAUUUGAGAUUUGUAGGCUGACUAUAUUUUCAAGCUUCUGAACUUUUGCUUAUGCAAAAUAUUCAUCCCAAAGCCUCUAGCGUCAUAGUUUCCUCACCCAAAUUACUAUGUUUCCACAAGAUUUAUAUAGUUGGUCUAUCUCUGCGGUCCUUGAAAGUGAAGUUGGUGUUACUAGGCUGUGGGUUUUGGGGGCUCAGCAGUGACCUGGAGUGUGCAAAUAAAUGUUAAGUUGAAACCUC
ensembl:lncRNA CCT6P3 chaperonin containing TCP1 subunit 6 pseudogene 3